GACCGUUCUCUCUUCUCCAUUCUAUCUCUUCUUCACAUUCUUCAUUGCUUCCAUGGUCGAGAGCUCCCAUUCAAAUCUGUUAUCACCAUUCUUACAUAACCCUCUGACAAAAUAAAGACAAGGUUUGUAACCACCCACAAGACCACCAAAUCCAACGGGUUCUUCGACUGUCCCAAAACACACAUCACUUGCAGAAAAACUCCUCCUAUGACCAACAAAGUCUCGUUCUUAGAAGAUGAAGAAUCGUCCAAGAAAGAAAAAUAAUCACUCAUUUGGUUCUCAUCGAUGGAAGCAGUGUUGCUAUCCUAGGUCCUCGAAGGAAAUAAGAGAGACCCAGAGCGGAUAUUUUCAUAAGAGAAAAAAAAAGACUCGACUUUGGGCUACUAGCAGGAGACCAAGAAGGCGUCUUACAUAUGGAAAUUCGAAGAACCCAUUUCGUGGAAUGAAACCAGAAGACGAUGGAAGGAAUGGGUUAUGUGAAUUGUUGGAGUUGGAUCUAUUGGGUCUUGAGAUCGGGUUCAAUUUCGUGGUUCUUGAUUUUACUGAACAAAACGUUGGUCGUAUCGUAAAGAUCCAUGGUGAUUUUUUUCAGUUUAGUCUUUGGUUUUGUUUAGUGUUUGAGAGACACUGUAAAGUUUGGUUUUUUUUUUUUAGUUGAAGAGGAGACAAUAGAAAGAAGGAAUAGAGAGAGUGAAAGGAAGUGGCGUUUAAACUAGACUUCGAUUCUGUCCCUCUCUCCCCAUGAACGCCACCGUGAAACUCCAAAUUCCGACCGCAUACAACAAUCCCGACACACUGUAAAUCGAACCCCACCGAGACUACUGUCGCACAAAUAAGGGAAUCUUCACGUGGCCUGCUCUACUGGAUCAUUGGAUCGGAUCUCCAGUUGGUUUGGGUUCUUCUUUAAACCCAUCGUUGCUUUGGGUUUAUUCUGACUCAACCUCGGACAAAUCGAGUAUCUACCAUCUAUACAAUUUUCCUGAUUUAUUUCUCCUCGUAAAGUUACUUAAUUAGUUUUUUUCAAUAAUUAAAAAAAAGCCUCCCAAAUUGAAUGGUCCAAAUGAAGAGACCGUGAUCCCUGUAACGCUCUCUUUUCUUUUCCGUUUUGGAUUUUUAUGGUAAUUAUUAUCUCACAUCUCCCCAUAUAUAAAAAGCCUUCGUUUAACUCGGUUCAACGGUAGCACCCGUAUGACUCGUUGGAACUCAAAUUUUCAAACGUCAACUCGACUCAGCUUUCCAUUAAAGAACCAUGUCCACGCCUGAUACCCUUCCUCCAUCUGUUUCCAAGAAGCAUCCUUCCAAAUUCUCUCGUUCCAUCCUUAAACUCUUCAAAUUCAUGUUCAAGUUCAGAAAAAGUCCGAGUCUUUCGGUUGUGGCUGAAACAAAGAUCGCUCGAGGAGUACUAUGUAAUUUACGACAAGACAUGUGCACUGACGACGAUCCCCGAGAUAGAUUUUGGAGGGUUUUCGCUGGAAAUCAACUCGUUGGUUAUCAAGAGAUGUGCAUCAGAAAGAUUCACUGCUGCCUCCACCGUUCAUGUGCUGGAUAUAUAUAUAUU